CCCGGCUAUAUCGUGAAUCCCGUGAAAAUGACAAUAGUCAUAGCUCACGGCUUAGCCGUGAAUCCCAUGAAAUUUAGUAUUUGGCGGGACAUUAUCCUUUAAAUAGACUGGACUAGAUAUGCCUUGCGCACACCACCUUACGACUUUAUAGACGAAUCUAUGUCUGAAUUAUUUUCUUGCUAGAAAUUUAUGCUCGAUCGAGCUUCUUCCGCCAGACGAUUUUACCUGGUGAUGUCAUAACCCGGAAGUACAAUGCCCGAGGUUCACUUGUCUUCACUCGCCUGGAUGUGAUAUUCCCAGCGCAGAGCUUUCGUCCCAUGGUUGUGCCGUAAACCGCAAAGACGAUGAUUUUUGUUAUCCUCUGAAGUCAGCUCAGGGAUGCAAUCACCUAUCACCAUAGGGAGCCAACACGGAAUCAACGUAUUCACGGUUUAAAGGGACUGUAUUUUGAAUUUAGAAGCUAUGUUUUGUUUGUGCUACUUAAAGUUCACAAUUACAUUAAAGACCUGUGUCACGUCAGAUUAGAAUGGACUAUAAGAACUUUUGUAUCUAGAGAUACUGAACUUUCUUUUUUUUUCUUUCUUCUAAUCAGUUUUUUUUUUCUUU